UUAACUAUUAUAUAGUACUCAGACAUCAUUAAUAUUCAGAGUUUGGUCCUCUGGCGGGCACACACGAGCCGAAGCCCAUGGUCGUUAAACGGCCCGCCAAAGCAACGAUAGUAUGUAGACACGGUGAGGCUAGAGAGAGCCCAGAGGGCUCCUCACGACCUUAGAUAAUGAUCCUUCCGCAGGUUCACCUACGGAAA
rnacentral:misc_RNA from 1 species